CCUACGGGGGGCAGCAGUGAGGAAUAUUGGUCAAUGGGCGGAAGCCUGAACCAGCCAAGUAGCGUGCGGGAUGAAGGCCCUACGGGUUGUAAACCGCUUUUGCAUGGGGAUAACACGCUCCACUUGUGGAGUUUUGCAUGUACCGUACGAAUAAGGACCGGCUAAUUCCGUGCCAGCAGCCGCGGUAAUACGGAAGGCCCGCGGGUUAUCCGGGUUAAUUGGGCUAAAAGGGAGCGUAGGUGGGUGUUAAAGUCAGUGGUAAAAUCGUGCGGCUCAACCCCGACACGCAGUUGAAACUGGACGCCUUGAGUACACAACAGGCAGGCGGAAUUCGUGGUGUAGCGGUGAAAUGCGUAGAUAUCACGAGGAACCCCGAUUGCGAAGGCAGCCUGCCGGGGUGCGACUGACGCUGAGGCUCGAAGGUGCGGGUAUCAAACAGGAUUAGAUACCCCGGUAGUC
rnacentral:rRNA from 1 species